rnacentral:rRNA from 1 species
UACAGAGGUCUCAAGCGUUGUUCGGAAUCAUUGGGCGUAAAGGGCGCGUAGGUGGUUCUGUAUGUCUACCGUGAAAGCGUACGGCUCAACCGUAUUUUGUCGGUGGAAACUGCAGGACUUGAGGCUGGGAGGGGCUGGUGGAAUUCCCUGUGUAGCGGUGAAAUGCGUAGAGAUGGGGGAGAACACUCGUGGCGAAGGCGGCCAGCUAGACCAGUUCUGACACUGAGGCGCGACAGCGUGGGGAGCAAACAGG